ensembl:miRNA
UGGAGGCUGGGAGUGCAUGAGCUGGCUCUCACCAGCUCCUCACAUCCCUGCCUCCC